rnacentral:rRNA from 1 species
GCCCUUAGAGUUUGAUCCUGGCUCAGGAUGAACGCUGGUGGCGUGCUUAACACAUGCAAGUCGAACGAAGCACUUUUACGGAUUUCUUCGGAAUGAAGUUUUAGUGACUGAGUGGCGGACGGGUGAGUAACGCGUGGGUAACCUGCCUCACACAGGGGGAUAAUAGUUGGAAACGGCUGCUAAUACCGCAUAAGCGCACAGUACCGCAUGGUACAGUGUGAAAAACUCCGGUGGUGUGAGAUGGACUCGCGUCUGAUUAGCUAGUUGGCAGGGCAACGGCCUACCAAGGCGACGAUCAGUAGCCGACCUGAGAGGGUGACCGGCCACAUUGGGACUGAGACACGGCCCAAACUCCUACGGGAGGCAGCAGUGGGGAAUAUUGCACAAUGGGGGAAACCCUGAUGCAGCGACGCCGCGUGAGCGAAGAAGUAUUUCGGUAUGUAAAGCUCUAUCAGCAGGGAAGAAGAAAUGACGGUACCUGACUAAGAAGCACCGGCUAAUCUG